ACCUGAUAACAGAAGAGAGCUGGGGGUUCCUCCUGCCACCUCACCCCCCAGGACACCACACCGAGGGAACUGGGGUGGUUUAGCCUGGAGAAAAGGAGGAUGAGGGGAGACCUCAUCACUGUCUACAACUGCCUGAAAGGAGGUUGUAGUGAGAGAGCAUCACAAACUGCACUUCUGGAAGCCUAAGACUUACAAGGAAGGACAUCUUAAAAGCAUGACUUCAAAGAGCACUGUGUCGGCAGAGCUGAAAGAAAUACAACCUUCACAGGGAUCCUAGAACUGGACACAGGAUGGAGUCUCACUGGAGUGGAGCAGAGGGACAGAAUCCUCUCCCUCCCCCUGCUGGUCCCACUGCUUUGGAUGCAGCCUAGGACACGUAAACUUCCCUAUUUACUGAGAUGGUUUCUGUUAGCAAUGCAGUAUUUAUUUGCAGUGGGUUUGGACAAAGCAGAAUCAAUUUAUGUGACACAAAUUUUGCAAGAGAAAUGUUAGCAAUUCCUUUCUAUUAAGGAAAUACAGGACAGGAGACCAGUGGCUUCUGUGUUGUUUAAAGAAAAAACGUUGUGAAGCAAAGUUUCUGAUACACUAAUGCUGCCUGUUGUGUUCCGUCAAAUCAGUUUCUUUGGAAUAAGCUGAUCUUCACACCACUACUCAUCCUGCAUUAGCUGAACUGUUCUAUAUCCCUUUGCUUGUCUCCUUUUUAACAAGAAAUACACAGCAGGACAUUUUAAUUAUAUCCACAAUGAAUGGGAAUGUCUGUUAUAAAUCCCCUAUGCUAUUUAUAGAUGACUUAAUUGGCUACUUAGGGUUUUAAAAAUGUCUACGCAGAUGCUGCACCAGGAAUGAGAUGAACAUUUUUCUCUGAAAGAGGAACUGUAUUUGAAGUUUUCAUUGUUUAAAUUAAAACCUGUGCUAACUGCUGUGUCCAAAUCCCUCCUGUGUACGCACAGAAACACAGAUAAACCAUGUGUUAAUUUUCAUUUAUUCUCAACCCCUACCAAUAUGUAUUAAAAUAACAACAAGGGCUAGAUUCUGCUAAGAACAGAGCUCAAAUUCUCAUUGAAAGGAAAGUUAGAAAGAAAUCUAUCAAAAAUUUGCACCAUGUGAAAAAGUACAAUAACAGCCUAGGACAAAAGGAAUUAAAAACUUCAAUACUAUGUAUUUUUCUGUUAUCUUUGAAGAAGGCUAUAGAACUGUUGGAACAGGUCCAGAGGAGGCCACGGAGAUGACGUAAGGGCUGGAGUACCUCUGUUAUGAGGACAGGCUGACAGUUAGGGUUGUUCAGCCUGGAGAACAGAAGGCUGCAGAGAGAGCUUAGUGCAGGUUCCAGUACUGAAAGGAGGUCCAGGAGAGCUCGGGAGGUGCUUUUUAAAAGGGCCUGGAGUGAUAGGACAAGGGGGAAUGGCUUUAAAUUGGAAAGGGGAAGAUUUAGAUUAGACAUUAGGAAGAAUGUAUUUGAGGUGUGGCCUCACCAAUGCUGAGGCCAAGGGAACAAUCCCUUCCCUGCUCCCACUGGCCACUCUGUUCCUGAUCCAAGCAAGGAUGAUGUUGGCCUUCUUGGCCACGUGGGCCACUGCUGGCUCAUGUUGAGCCACUGUCAACCAACACCCCUGGUCUGUCUCCUCCAGAGGGCUUUCCAGCUGCUCUUCCCCAAGCCUGGAUCUGCACAGGGUUGUUGUGUCUCAAGUGCAGGUUCUGGCAGUUUGUCGUGUUGAACCUCAUCCUGCUGGUUUCAGCCCAUGGAUCCAGCCUGUCCAGGUCCCUCUGCAGAGCCUCCCCACCUUGAAACAUGUCAAUGCUCCUGCCCAGCUUAGCAUCAUCCAUGAAUACACUAAGAGUACAUUCAAUGCCUUCAUCCAGGUCAGUGAUGAAGAUAUUGAACAGGACAGGAUCCACCACUGAGCCCUGGGGACACCCUUUGUGACCGGCCUCCAGCUGGACUGAGCUCCAUUCCCACCACUCUUUGGCCUGACCACCCAGACAGUUUUUCACGCCACAGAGGGUGCUCUGAUCCAGGGCAGUUGCAGCUGGUUUCUCAGUCAGAACAUGGUGAGAAACGGUGUCAAAGGCUUUACUGAAGCCUAGGUAUCAUACAUCCACAGCCUUUCCUUGUCCAUCAAGCGGGUCCCGGGGUCAUAGAAGGAAAUCAGGUUGGUUUGGCAGGAUCUGCCAUUCAUAAACCCAUGUUGACUGGGCCUGAUCACCUGGUUGU